GCGGGGUUCGUAAAAUGGUAUUACCUUAGCCUUCCAAGCUAAAGUCAGGAGUUCGAUUCUCCUACCCCGCUCCA
rnacentral:tRNA from 1 species